rnacentral:lncRNA from 1 species
AACUGAUUCAGUAUGCAUGGUGCUUGCCCAGGCCCAGGUGUCUGUGAUCGUGAGGCAGCGCCCACUGGAGUGGGUUCACGAGCCCUCUGUAUUGACAUUCCACGUGUGUUUACUGGGACUCAUCAUUCUUCCAGAAGAUGACCUUGCAGUUCAGACAGUGAAGCACAAUUGCAUUGCCACUUGAGUUUCCUGGUUUCCCGAUUUCUUCUGCAUUCCCUCCUUGGGGGAGGUCCCAAUAUGACUAGCCUGGGCCUAUUUGGUCCUUACCAGGAAUGUCUGAUACCAUCACACUGACCAAGAAGAUGUCCUGCUUCUUGCUGACAGAUCAUGGAUGGAGGAGGCAGAAGAGAUGCUACCCCUGACAACACAAGAUCUCCUGGAAGGACAUCCAUGUCCUGGUGGCUGCUGCACAGGUCACCUGACCUCCACAAGCUUUCCUCUCUCUUAUUCUUAUGGCGGUUUUUGUUGUUCUUCAUUCCAACUUUGCUACUGCCCAGCCUUUUUCUAACACUCCCAAUACCCACUACUGGAGAUUUCUUGCUAGGGAGACAUACUACAGACACAACAGAAUUAUAGGACAGCCCUUGUGAAGGAUGAUGGACUAGGAUUGAGAGUCCUCUAACUUGAUGAUUUUAUCUCCACUACCUCCAAUUCCUUCUUCUGUGUUCCUCAUGGCCUCUGACCAUGAGGCCUCCAUGUAUGGAGAUUUCAGUCAUUGUGGAUGCCAAAUUGAAUCCACUAGCCAUGGCAGCAUCACACUCACCAACCUUAAAACUCAUUUUCAGCUUUCCAUCAGCAAUCCCUGGGACAAAUGGGAGUCCUGCAUAUGCUCUACCUUCAUGAAUUGGCUAAAUACCCUGAAGUUGACUUUUUAUGUCUCUUGCCAGCUUGUUCCUGUCUCCACAUUGGUUCUUACCCAUGUAAACAUUCUUUGAUAGGAAAAUCAAAUUCAGAAGGAGGUCUAAGCCACUCUCCCCUGGCUGCAAUACAUCCAAUAUACAGCUGGCAUUCUUCCCCUAGCUACCCACUCCAACUCCUCUCAAUGCUUCUCCUACACUUUCUUCCCCCAGCGCUAUUGGCGGCUGUUCCCAUUAGCAUCUCACUUCAUGAACCUCAUGGAGCCUGAUCCACACAAGAGUUAUGAAACAUCCCUCUCCUCAAUCUACCUCUCCCCUUUGCCUUAUUGGACCCUCUUCAAAAACUCAUCCUACAUUUUCCGGUAAUAUCAUUGUCACUAAGCCAAUAUGUGUUAGUACCCUCUCCCUUCUCUGGUGCAAUAGCCCUAACAAUUCCUGCAUUAAACUCCCUUUUCCAGAUUCCCCUGGUUUUAGGCUGAAGAAACUACCUCGAUUCACAGCUGGUAGGAGACAGAAAAAAGAGGUGAGAUCUUCAUCUCUUUACUGUAGACUAGCCAACAGCAUCCAGAACAAGUUUGAGCAAGCAAUGGCUUCUACUAUGGACAAUCCUGAGAUUCUCCAAUGACAGAUCACAUCCCUAGUGGGGUUGUCCUUCAAAGUUGGAGAGCUCUGGGCUUAAUGACUGUGAAAUGGAGGGAUUUUCAUUUUGUUAAGGGAGGAAUGUUGUUUUUAUGUCUGUGAAUCUGGGCUGUCAAAACAGGACAUAGAAAUGCUCAAAGAUCUAAAGCGAGAUCUCUGAGCAUGCUAAAUGCCCAGCCUCCUACCCUGUGGUACUCAAACCCUCCCAUGCUUGGCUUCACCCCUUCUUGGCUCUGUACUGGCCAUUGGAGCCAUACUCCUCCUGACAUCCUGCCUCAUCCAGUUUCUAAAACGGCAGAUGAGGCAGAUGAAUAGCAUUGCAAAUCUCACUGCCAAUUGUGUUCUGGUUCAAUACCAGUCCAUUCCCAAUAUAGAGGCUAUGGACUAUGAUUACAUCUCCCAUUUAUAGAACAAAAACGGAAUGACGUAGGGCAAGUGCAACUGGGGAAUGGUCCAGGAACAACAGUGAUAUCGAGAAGCAUCCAAACCCUGAAAAUCUUGUCUUCAGUAGAGACUGUUCCCUCUCUAGGCUCAGACUGCAUGUCCUGGUAUUGUUGGCCAAAUUAUAAAUUUAAGCACUGCUAUCCCUUUUUAUGCAAAUAAAACAUUCUCAGCCUCUUGGCCCAGGCCAAUAAUGUACACUCACCUCAAAAAACCACUCCCCAAUAAAGAAAGACACUGUUUUAUGGAAAGCCAAGAGAGCUGUUUCAUUGACUAUCAUCUAGAAGAGCUAUUUUGCUUUCCCACAUAAAGAAAAGCUGUACCACUAAAACCACCUUGAAGAAGUGCUCCUCACCCCCACUCUGCCUUUGCUGAACAUCUGGUGAACUUAUCCACCCAGGCAAACUUUGUUCCCUUCAUUCUGUCCCUGACCAGUGCCCGACUCCUAAAAGGCAGAAGCAGAGCCGGAUUCUAAUAGGCAGAGAGCAAAAGCAUUCUUCUUCCAUGUUCUUCAUAUAGACAGCUGUCAGGAGGUGUGGCCCAGACUGAGGUGGAUCAUUCUACCGCAAAAGGUCUUGAUUAAAUGUGGGUUUUCCAACUUCAGAUGAUUUCAUUUAAAAAUUCUUCACAGGUAUAUAUUCCCAGACACCUGGGUUCUAGUUAAUUCUGGAUGUGGGGAAGCUGACAACCAAGAACAUCCAACACAGAUGGUAUUUAGACACAUAAAGCUUAACUUGUUUAAAUUAGGAAAAUAUUAUAUUUAUUUAUCUACUAAGGGUUUUUCUUUUUUUUUUUUUUUUGGUGGUUGUUCUUGUGUGACACAACAUGUAAGAGGAGGUCAGAGGGCACCUUGUGGAAGGUGUUACUUCUGGAAAUCAAAUUCUAGUCAUAAGAUUUGGUGGCAAGUGCUUUUAUCUGCUGAGCUAUCUUGCUGACCUUCAGACAUGUUUUUAUAUAUUUCGGAUCAUUUUACAUCUUAAUCAUCUCAGAGCCUGAUGCUGUGUUUAGAAGUUGUCCAGAACAGUAGAUUCACUAAAGACAGCUAGGGAGCAGACUGGGCUUGAAAUUUAUAACCAGCUCUAUUUAGCUCUGAGACAAGGUCAUGUUAUGUAUUGCAUAUACAAAUUGGAGGAAAUAAUUUCCUAUCCCUGAAUAUGAGUUACGUCAUCUAUAAAAUUGUAUCUAAUGAGAUUAUUGAAUGAUUUAUUGAAUUUAACAUAUGUAGUUACAACUAUUUCUGUUUACUACAUAGUAAAUAGAAGGGUUUCCCUAUUUUUGCUCUUGUAUCAUCCUCUAAAGAAACCUGCAUGUUUUAAAAGACAUACCAAAUAGAUUCUCACCCACCCCCACCCCAAUGGAGAAUAUGUCUUAAUACUGAACUAUAACUGAAUGAGAGCUAGCUUAAAAAGAGAGAAGGGCACAGUGUGUCAAUCAAGGAUCUUAGGACAUACAGAUUAGUGUCAUACAUAUUUGUGUGUAUGUGUAUGUCAUGUGUUGAGUAGGACUUGGGAAGGCCUGAAGAGUCAGUCAGAUCUACUGGGUCUUAAGUUACUCAUGCUUGUGAUCCCCUAAUGAGGCUGCUGGAAAUUGAACCCAGAUCCUCUGCAAGAGCUGCAAGUCCUCUUAACUGUCAAACCAUCUGUGUAGCAGACCAAUGCCUUCUGGAUGGCUAAGAACAAAAAGGAGCAAUGAUGCACUGGUUCCUUGAUUUCUAAUUGAUUAUAAUUUUCUCGAGUUAUUUAUAAAAAUCAUCUGAAGAAAUUCGUUGUGCUUAUCUGCUUCUUUGAUGGAAGGGAAGGGUACAUUUAUGUUUCAUGACCCACUUAUUUUUCAGUGCACUCUUA